GGCCCAGUGGUUUAGUGCUUGUGCGUUAGGCUUGAAACCAAAGGGUCCCAAGUUCGAAUCCUGACUAGGGCA